AAGUCGUAACAAGGUUUCCGUAGGUGAACCUGCGGAAGGAUCAUUAACGAAAAUUCCGUUAACAUGGGAUCCGAUGAAAAAAAGAUAUGGAUGUAACAUUCCCAUACCGUAUAAAACACCGAAGACUUGAAUAAGUAACGGUUUAAUUUGGCAAGACUUCGAGGGCUAUCUUCGACCUUCUUCGACUUUCGCUAUGACCGAUCGAGGAAAGGCGGUCUGCCAAAUGGAACUCUCUUGCAAGACUUCGAGGGCUAUCUUCGACCUUUUUCGUCUUUCGCCAUGAUCGAUCGAAUAAAGGCGGUCUGCAAGCAAAUAAAAAUAAUCAUUCAAAUAAAAUCUGAAACUUUUUGAGAAAUCAAAUUACAAAUAUAACUUUCAGCAACGGAUCUCUUGGUUCUC
rnacentral:misc_RNA from 1 species